GACGAACGCUGGCGGCGUGCUUAACACAUGCAAGUCGAACGGAAAGGCCCUGCUUUUGUGGGGUGCUCGAGUGGCGAACGGGUGAGUAACACGUGAGUAACCUGCCCUGACUUUGGGAUAACUUCAGGAAACUGGGGCUAAUACCGGAUAGGAGCUCCUGCUGCAUGGUGGGGGUUGGAAUGUUGCGGGGGUUGGGGAUGGACUCGCGGCUUAUGAGCUUGUUGGUGGGGUAGUGGCUUACCAAGGCCUUGACGGGUAGGCGGCCUGGGAGGGUGAACGGCCACAUUGGGAGUGAGAUGCGUCCCAGACUCCUACGGGAGGCAGGAGUGGCGAAUAGGGCAGAAUGGGCGGAAGCCUGAUGCAGCAACGCCGCGUGCGGGAUGACGGCCUUCGGGUUGUAAACCGGUUUCGCCUGUGACGAAGCGUGAGUGACGGUAAUGGGUAAAGAAGCACCGGCUAACUACGUG
rnacentral:rRNA from 1 species